GCCCUGGUAGCUCAAUUGGUUAGAGCGUCGGACUUUUAUCCAGUACACCACUAGUAAAGAGUCUAUCCGAAGGCUGCGGGUUCGACCCCCGCCUGGGGCG